rnacentral:rRNA from 1 species
CCUACGGGUGGCAGCAGUGAGGAAUAUUGGUCAAUGGGCGAGAGCCUGAACCAGCCAAGUCGCGUGAGGGAGUACUGCCCUAUGGGUUGUAAACCUCUUUUGUCGGGGAGCAAAAGCCGGACGUGUCCGGCUGUGAGAGUACCCGAAGAAAAAGCAUCGGCUAACUCCGUGCCAGCAGCCGCGGUAAUACGGAGGAUGCGAGCGUUAGCCGGAUUUAUUGGGUUUAAAGGGUGCGCAGGCGGAUUUUUAAGUCAGCGGUAAAAUCGUGGGGCUCAACCCCAUCCAGCCGUUGAAACUGGGGAUCUAGAGUGUGCGAGAGGUAUGCGGAAUGCGUGGUGUAGCGGUGAAAUGCAUAGAUAUCACGCAGAACCCCGAUUGCGAAGGCAGCAUACCGGUGCACAACUGACGCUCAGGCACGAAAGCGUGGGUAUCGAACAGGAUUAGAUACCCCAGUAGUC